rnacentral:rRNA from 1 species
UACAGAGGUCUCAAGCGUUGUUCGGAUUCAUUGGGCGUAAAGGGUGUGUAGGUGGCGCCGUAAGUCGGGUGUGAAAUUUCGGAGCUUAACUCCGAAACUGCAUUCGAUACUGCCGUGCUUGAGGACUGGAGAGGAGACUGGAAUUUACGGUGUAGCGGUGAAAUGCGUAGAUAUCGUAAGGAAGACCAGUGGCGAAGGCGGGUCUCUGGACAGUUCCUGACGCUGAGGCACGAAGGUCAGGGGAGCAAAACGGGG